CCUACGGGAGGCAGCAGUGGGGAAUCUUGCGCAAUGGGCGAAAGCCUGACGCAGCCAUGCCGCGUGAAUGAUGAAGGUCUUAGGAUUGUAAAAUUCUUUCACCGGGGACGAUAAUGACGGUACCCGGAGAAGAAGCCCCGGCUAACUUCGUGCCAGCAGCCGCGGUAAUACGAAGGGGGCUAGCGUUGCUCGGAAUUACUGGGCGUAAAGGGAGCGUAGGCGGAUAGUUUAGUCAGAGGUGAAAGCCCAGGGCUCAACCUUGGAAUUGCCUUUGAUACUGGCUAUCUUGAGUGUGGGAGAGGUAUGUGGAACUCCGAGUGUAGAGGUGAAAUUCGUAGAUAUUCGGAAGAACACCAGUGGCGAAGGCGACAUACUGGCCCAUUACUGACGCUGAGGCUCGAAAGCGUGGGGAGCAAACAGGAUUAGAUACCCUGGUAGUCCACGCUGUAAACGAUGAGUGCUAGUUGUCGGCAUGCAUNCAUGUCGGUGACGCAGCUACGCAUAAGACACUCCGCCGUCGGGAGGUACGGUCGCGAGAAGUUAAACGUUAACGAAGUAAGUAGACGUGUAGAGACGUCGACGACGACGACGACGGAGGGAGGAGG
rnacentral:rRNA from 1 species